AACGAACGCUGGCGGCAGGCCUAACACAUGCAAGUCGAACGCCCUAGCAAUAGGGAGUGGCAGACGGGUGAGUAACGCGUGGGAACGUACCCUUCGGUUCGGAAUAACCCAGGGAAACUUGGACUAAUACCGGAUACGUGCGAGAGCAGAAAGAUUUAUCGCCGAAGGAUCGGCCCGCGUCCGAUUAGCUAGUUGGUGAGGUAAUGGCUCACCAAGGCGACGAUCGGUAGCUGGUCNGAGAGGAUGAUCAGCCACACUGGGACUGAGACACGGCCCAGACUCCUACGGGAGGCAGCAGUGGGGAAUAUUGGACAAUGGGCGCAAGCCUGAUCCAGCCAUGCCGCGUGAGUGAUGAAGGCCCUAGGGUUGUAAAGCUCUUUCGCCAGGGACGAUAAUGACGGUACCU
rnacentral:rRNA from 1 species